CCGUAGCAACCCCAGAGCCAAUACGCGCGCAACUCCCGACCCCUGGAAGGGAUGUAUUUAUUAGAUAAAAACCGACCGGGCUUGCCCGUUUUCCGGUGACUCAUGAUAACUUCACGAAUCGCAUGGCCUUGGUGCCGGCGAUGUUUCAUUCAAAUUUCUGCCCUAUCAACUUUCGAUGGUAAGGUAGUGGCUUACCAUGGUGGUAACGGGUGACGGAGGAUUAGGGUUCGAUUCCGGAGAGGGAGCCUGAGAAACGGCUACCACAUCCAAGGAAGGCAGCAGGCGCGCAAAUUACCCAAUCCUGAUACAGGGAGGUAGUGACAAUAAAUAACUAUACCGGGCUCUUUCGAGUCUGGUGAUGGGAAUGAGUACAACGUAAAACCCUUAACGAGGAUCCAUUGGAGGG
rnacentral:rRNA from 1 species